CGUAGGGUGCGAGCGUUGUCCGGAUUUAUUGGGCGUAAAGAGCUCGUAGGUGGUUUGUCACGUCGUCUGUGAAAUUCCGGGGCUUAACCUCGGGCGUGCAGGCGAUACGGGCAAUACUUGAGUGCUGUAGGGGAGACUGGAAUUCCUGGUGUAGCGGUGAAAUGCGCAGAUAUCAGGAGGAACACCAAUGGCGAAGGCAGGUCUCUGGGCAGUUACUGACGCUGAGGAGCGAAAGCAUGGGUAGCGAACAGGAUUA
rnacentral:rRNA from 1 species